rnacentral:tRNA from 1 species
GGGGCUGUGGCUGAGUUGUAGAGCAUCUGCUUUGGAUGCAGAAGGUCCCAGGUUCAAGCCCCGGCACCUCCA